GUUGGUGAUGAAGGUUCUUGUCCUGGAUGUUUGGACCGGUCGUCCUGCUGCAGGAAGGUUGAGGGUUGAUCACCUGAUGCUGACAUCAGAACCAACAUGGCGUCAGAGCCGGUGUUCGUGUGUUUUUUGGUUUUGGGAGCCGUUAGGGCUGUAGGCAGCAGCUAGAUGAACAGAGUGUGAUGGAGGAGAUGUGUUCGCCUCACUGCUCCACUCCACUCUCACAAACCUCCUCGGAGGCUUCACUCCAGUCCACCGCUUUGUACCUGGAGCUCCGCCGAGGUUCGGCUCGAUCAGCCUUCCUGCUCAGGUUUGCGUCCCGGCGGCCCCUCGAGGCGCCACAUUACCGGGCGGCGACCGAAAGCGUGUUCGCCGCAGCAGAAAAACGCUGCUUCACCGAGCUCAGAGUCACAUGGAGGCCAGCUGUUACCGUGGCAACUGUACUCAACAGCCCAGAAGAAAUGGAGCAAAAAUGAGAGUGAAACCUCGGCGGCGAUCCUAAACGCAUCCGAACCGACCGGGUUUGUCCUCAGGAGCCGCGACAGCAGAGUUCACAUCUGGAAUCAUGUCCGACACAUCUGGACUCCUUCGUCAGGGUAACCGGAGACUCUUCUGUCAGAUCUGCAGGACGAAGGGAGAAUCCCAGAGCAUCAUGGGAAGGUUGUUCAGCUGAAACAUGAAGGGAUGCAAACAAUGGACCGGGUUAUGUGCCUAGCAACAGCCAUAGGGGUGGGGUCAGCGCGGCCUCACCUGGGUGUGGAGCCUGUUCACCUGUCGGGGCCUCACAGGGGCGGGGCUUCUCUGAUGACAUCAGUUAAUACCGAUAAAGAGCUUCAGAGCCAUACAGUGCGGCUUCGGGCCGACAGAGCGCCGCUGCUUUGUUCCUGAGAGGCGCCAGCUGCCGCCAUCGCCCCGAGGACGUCGCCAUGGCGCCGAGCGGCGGGACACGGUGGGCGGAGCCUCUGCAGCUUUAAUGAGGCGACAGCUCGGCUGCUUCCGUAUUCAUUAAACAUCUGGAGCCACAGAUGUGGAGGGACGCCCAGGACCAAUAAAAAAUGACUUCCCAUCUGGAAGCCCCAAACUGGAAACGACACCGGGAAGCUUCUCACACACAGAUAUACACACAUAAACACAACAACAACACAACAGCAACACAAACAGACACCGGGAAGCUUCUCACACACAGAUAUACACACAUAAACACAACAACAACACAACAGCAACACAAACAGACACCGGGAAGCUUCUCACACACAGAUAUACACACAUAAACACAACAACAACACAACAGCAACACAAACAGACACCGGGAAGCUUCUCACACACAGAUAUACACACAUAAACACAACAACAACACAACAACAACACAAACAGACACCGGGAAGCUUCUCACACACAGAUAUACACACAUAAACACAACAACAACACAACAACAACACAAACAGACACCGGGAAGCUUCUCACACACAGAUAUACACACAUAAACACAACAACAACACAACAACAACACAAACAGACACCGGGAAGCUUCUCACACAAACACAACAAAACAAUAACAACACAACACAAAUCUAAAGACAACACAACAGAAAUGCAACAUGCCACUAACACACACACACAACAGAAACCUGUACCUCUUUGUGUUCUUUUUGUGUCUUUGUGGUUGUUUUGUGUCUCUUUGUGGUUGUUUUGUGUCUCUGUGGUUGUUUUGUGUCUCUGUGGUUGUUUUGUGUCUCUGUGGUUGUUUUGUGUCUCUUUGUGGUUGUUUUGUGUCUCUUUAUGGUUGUUUUGUGUCUCUUUGUGUCUCUUUGUGGUUGUUUUGUGUCUCUGUGGUUGUUUUGUGUCUCUGUGGUUGUUUUGUGUCUCUUUGUGGUUGUUUUGUGUCUCUGUGGUUGUUUUGUGUCUCUGUGGUUGUUUUGUGUCUCUUUGUGGUUGUUUUGUGUCUCUGUGGUUGUUUUGUGUCUCUUUGUGGUUGUUUUGUGUCUCUGUGGUUGUUUUGUGUCUCUGUGGUUGUUUUGUGUCUCUUUGUGGUUGUUUUGUGUCUCUGUGGUUGUUUUGUGUCUCUGUGGUUGUUUUGUGUCUCUUUGUGGUUGUUUUGUGUCUCUUUAUGGUUGUUUUGUGUCUCUUUGUGUCUCUUUGUGGUUGUUUUGUGUCUCUGUGGUUGUUUUGUGUCUCUGUGGUUGUUUUGUGUCUCUUUGUGGUUGUUUUGUGUCUCUUUGUGGUUGUUUUGUGUCUCUUUGUAGACAACACAUCCAUGUGUUUGAUGAGUUUUUUUACACUGUGGUUCCAUUUUUCUAAAAUGUCUUAUAAAGUUUAAAGUUUUUAAAAAUGCUGCUUUGAAACUGGUUUUCACACUUUUAAAAAUAUUUCCUUUUUUAAAAAAAGUUUUGUUUUAAUAGAUGUUAUGUUUGCAGCGUCUUUGUGUGUCUUUAUAUUUGUUUGUCUUUGUGUUGUUUUUGUGUGUCUGUUAUUUUUGUGUCUGGGUUUUUUUGCAUUUCUGUGUUAUUUUAGUGUGUCUGUGUAAUUUUUGUGCGUCUUUGUGUUGUUUUUGUGUUGUUUCUGAUAAACAGAUGUAACUUCGACCUGUUUGUCCUCAGAUUAAAUCCGUUUGGCAGCAGCUCAGGUGAGCUGCAGGUUGGAGCUCCGCCUCCCGCUGAGGUCACCGCCUGUCGGCACGGCGACGCUGAAGAGGACGAGAACCUUCAUCAGCAGCAGACAGAUGUGAUAUAAUAUGCAGUAAAACAUCAGAAGGAGACCGGUCUAGAACUUUCAUUCUAGAACCUUCGUUCUAGAACCUUCAUUCCAUCCUGAUGGAACCAUUUCGUUGAAACAUCCAACUGUGUCCAAGAUCAACCUUCUACUGAUGGUUUUAGAUUCUAAUCCUCCUUCUUCAUUAUUACAUUCACUUUGUGGAAAGCUGCAGGUCCACAGAGCAUGAUACUGCCACCACCAUGCUUGGUGUUCUUGGGGCUAAAAAAAAGAAUGAAACCAGCCCUAAAAAAAAUCUAAAACCAAGACCAAAGUCAAACUUACACCAGUCCAAAAAAACAAACAAACUAGACUUCAGAACCAGUCAGAAUGCAGUCUGAAACCAGUCCUAAAAAAAUCAAAAACCAGUACAAUAUGAGAACCAAACCUGAACUAAUCCUAAACAAAAAAAGUCCAAGACCAACAUUUAAUCAAAUCCAAAACCAGGAGAACCAAGGCUGAAACUAAACAUAAACCAGUCCCAAGGAAGUCCAGAACAAGUCCAACAUCCAUUCUGAAACCAAUCCAGAAACUCUUCUAGAAAGCCCCAGGGCAUGAUAGUUCCACCUCCAUGCUUGAUGGUAGGUUUGGUGUUCUUGGGUUUAAAAAAAGACCCGAUCAAGAUGGUCUGAAACCCGUCCUAAAAAGGUCUAAAACCAGAGGUUUGUAGUUGUUUUGUGCAUCUUUGCGGUUAUUUUGUUAGUCUUUGUGGUUAUUUUGUGUCUCUUUGUGGUUGUUGUGUCUCUUUGUGGUUGUUGUGUCUCUUUGUGGUUGUUUUGUGUGUAUUUCUGGUUAUAUUGUGUCAUUGUGGUUAUGUUGUGUUUGUGUUUCUGCUCUGUCUCUAAAUUGUCAAAUAUCCUGUAACUGAGUAAAUUUCCAGUUCUUUAGAGGAACGUUUGCAGGAGAACAAAGAGUUUGUUGUAAGAUAAGAGUUUGUGUUUCAUCCAUAAAUGAUCGGAAAAAUAAAUAAAUCAUGUGACACGUAUGACAGAUAAAUAAUGAAAACAUGUUUUUCUUUCUGUCCUUAGUGAGGCUGAAACUCGUCACAUUAAACGGUUUAUCUGAGGAGCUUCAGGGGGAAUCAGAAGAACAUCAGAACAUUUCAGUUUAAUCUGUUUAAAUCACUUUUUUUUAACCUCAAACACCUGAAAACCUGCAGAAUAAAAAUCAAAGGUUGUUUACUUCUCAUUUUCAUUGAAAAUGUCAGAAUAUUUUAUUAAACAUUUAUUAAGAAAUAAUUCACUUCAUAUGAUCAGUUUGAGUGUUAAAAAGAACUAAAGAACUAAAAGAACUAAAGGAAAAGGAGCUGAUGUAAGAACCAACAGAGACCACGAGGGGGCAGCAGAGAGAACACACUGAUAGAACCACACACUGAUAGAACCACACACUGAUAGAACCACACACUGAUAGAACCACAGUGAUAGAACCACACACUGAUAGAACCACACUGAUAGAACCACACACUGAUAGAACCACACACUGAUAGAACCACAGUGAUAGAACCCCACUGACAGAACCACACUGAUAGAACCACACACUGAUAGAACCCCACUGAUAGAACCACAGUGAUAGAACCCCACUGACAGAACCACACUGAUAGAACCACACACUGAUAGAACCACACUGAUAGAACCACACACUGAUAGAACCCCACUGAUAGAACCACAGUGAUAGAACCCCACUGACAGAACCACACUGAUAGAACCACACACUGAUAGAACCACACUGAUAGAACCCCACUGACAGAACCACACACUGAUAGAACCACACACUGAUAGAACCACACUGAUAGAACCACACACUGAUAGAACCACAGUGAUAGAACCACACUGACAGAACCACACACUGACAGAACCACACACUGAUAGAACCACACACUGACAGAACCACACACUGAUAGAACCACAAGAUAGAACCACACACUGAUAGAACCACACUGAUAGAACCACACUGAUGGAACCACACUGAUAGAACCACACUGAUGGAACCACACUGAUAGAACCACACUGAUGGAACCACACUGAUAGAACCACACACUGGUGUUUUUGGUGUCUUUGUAUCUCUUUGUAGUUGUUUUGUGUCUCUUUGUGGUUGUUUUGUGUAUCGUUGUGGUAUUUUUGUGUUUACCUGACUGUUGUUAUCUGUUUCUUCAGCUGCUGCACUCUGAUUGGCUCCUCUGAGUUUGGUGUUCUCCAGGUUUUUCUACCUUACCAUUGGUCUGGUCAGAUCACCUGUCGGCAGGUGUACAGUUGACAUCAGCCGUGAUGCGUUCAGGCUCCAGAGGAAACCUGGCCACCCGGCACAGAGCAGCUCUAAGUGUCGGGUUAAUGGGAUCACCGGAGGGUUAAUUAGACCUCACACCUCUUUAACACGUCGACGAGGAGGAGCUGAUCUCAGAGCAGAAACACUCUGAUACACAGGAAGACAGAGAUGGCCUCCUGAGUGCAGCAGCGCCCUCUGCUGGUAGGGCAGGUACUGUCUGCCCACUGUAGAACCAGGUUUAAAUUUACUGAGACAGAAUAACCACAAAGAGACACAAGACGACCUCAAACCACCUGAUCAGAACCUUUCUAACUGCAGGAGAACACACCUGACAGCUGUUCUAUAAGAUCAUUGGUUCUCUGAUUGAUACUAAUAUCUCCAAUUAAUACCAGUUUGUUUGAUUGGUACCAAUAUCUCUGAUUGAUUCCAAUAUCUCCGAUUGAUACCAGUAUCUCUGAUUGAUGUUUUAGUUUUUGUUGAGCCUUAUUUUCUUACUUUCCUCAAACUGAUGACUUGACAUUUAAUCAGAUAUCAGUCAUCCUUCCCCAACACACACACAGACACGCACGCACUCACACUAAUGUUAAAACAGCGUCAGCACUGAUGGUGUGAUUUUCUCACCUGAUUUAAAUCUGUGAGCUGCUGACAUGGAGGACCAACUGUUCUAAGAAACACUGACAGACACAAAACUGUCCACACACACACAACUGUCCACAGACACACAACUGUCCACACACACACAACUGUCCACACACACACAACUGUCCACACACACACAAGUGUCCACACAGAGAAAACUGUCCACACACACACACACAACUGUCCACACACACGACAACAACACUAAGCUCUGCACUGCAAACACACAAGAAACGCAAAUCAAUGAAGUGAUUACACCGGUGGAAUAGAAAGUUUAUUACAAGGGACAGGAUUACACAAAACAACAACAAAGAUACACAAUAAGACUGCAAAGAGACAAAAACUAGCUACAAAUAGACAAAAUGACUGUAAAGAGAUAACCAUCUACAAAGAGUCACUAACCAACUGCAAAGAGACACAAUAAGACUGCAGAGACACAAUAAGACUGCAAAGAGACACCACCUAACUGCAAAGAGACACCAACUAAUUACAAAGAGACACCAGCUCACUGCAAAGAGACAUCAACUCACUGCAAAGAGACACCAACUAACAAAGAGACACAAACUCACUGCAAAGAGACACCAGCUCACUGCAAAGAGACAUCAACUCACUGCAAAGAGACACCAACUAACAAAGAGACACAAACUCACUGCAAAGAGACACCGACCAACAAAGAGACACCAACUAACUGCAAAGAGACACCAACUAACUGCAAAGAGACACCGACCAACAAAGAGACACCAACUAACUGCAAAGAGACACCAACUCACUGCAAAGAGACACCAACUAACAAAGAGACACCAACUCACUGCAAAGAGACACAAACUCACUGCAAAGAGACACCAACCUGCAAAGAGACACCGACCAACAAAGAGACACCAACUAACUGCAAAGAGACACCAACUAACAAAGAGACACCAACUCACUGCAAACAGAGACUAAAAAACUACAAAGAGACACAGUUUGUUGUUUUAUACUGAAUUUAUUUAGUUUGUUUUGCACUUUUGGUGUCGGUUCUUCUUUGCUAUAUUUUCAGUUUGGUUGUUUAUGUUUGAUGUUGUUUUGUUUUUGUUGUUUAUCCUCCUUUUUAAAGAAGAAUAUUGACAUAAUUCAUGUUGUAGAAUCAAUGCUUCCUACAGCUGCAGUGUGUUCACUCAGCAGACGGCUUGUUCAGGCAGCAGCGUCCUUAUAUGUAGAGUUAAAUCUAAACCGCCAGCAUAGCAGUUUGGUUGACGUCAUGCUCACGCUUUAAGCUCACAAAUAUUUUAAAUCUAUAUUUCUAAAGCACAACAAAUGGCAGAUAUGAUGGAGACACAAUAAAGUGCUUUCUGGUUGUUUUUUUGGUGGUGUUUCCUUGUCUGUUUGCUGCUCUACAUUGUUUUUCCUUCCCUAAAAUAAAAACCGAGCUUCUGUGUC